rnacentral:rRNA from 1 species
CCUACGGGGGGCACCAGUGGGGAAUAUUGCACAAUGGGCGCAAGCCUGAUGCAGCCAUGCCGCGUGUAUGAAGAAGGCCUUCGGGUUGUAAAGUACUUUCAGCGGGGAGGAAGGCGGUGAGGUUAAUAACCUCGUCGAUUGACGUUACCCGCAGAAGAAGCACCGGCUAACUCCGUGCCAGCAGCCGCGGUAAUACGGAGGGUGCAAGCGUCAAUCGGAAUUACUGGGCGUAAAGCGCACGCAGGCGGUCUGUCAAGUCGGAUGUGAAAUCCCCGGGCUCAACCUGGGAACUGCGUUCGAAACUGGCAGGCUAAAGUCUUGUAGAGGGGGGUAGAAUUCCAGGUGUAGCGGUGAAAUGCGUAGAGAUCUGGAGGAAUACCGGUGGCGAAGGCGGCCCCCUGGACAAAGACUGACGCUCAGGUGCGAAAGCGUGGGGAGCAAACAGGAUUAGAUACCCCCGUAGUC